rnacentral:rRNA from 1 species
CAGCAGCCGCGGGAAUACGUAGGUGGCGAGCGUUGUCCGGAUUUAUUGGGUGUAAAGCGAGCGCAGGCGGUUAGAUAAGUCUGAAGUUAAAGGCUGUGGCUUAACCAUAGUACGCUUUGGAAACUGUCUAACUUGAGUGCGAGAGGGGAGAGUGGAAUUCCACGUGUAGCGGUGAAAUGCGUAGAUAUAUGGAGGAACACCGGUGGCGAAAGCGGCUCUCUGGCUUGUAACUGACGCUGAGGCUCGAAAGCGUGGGGAGCAAACAGGAUUAGAUACCCCCGUAGUCCCUGUCUCUUAUACA